ensembl:lncRNA
CCUUGGUCAGAAUGAGCUGCAGAGAGUCGUGCAGGUGUGAAUAUAAAUGCAGCUUGAUGCAGUAAUGAAGGGUUUGUUCGGAGACCUCGGCUCACACAGAAGGUCAAAGGCUUUAAAAGCAAAGCUAACCUUCACAUCGGCUCUUCAGACUGAUGAGCGAUUAAAAACUUUGACAGCCAAUCAGAAUCAAUCCUGCUGGAGAAUUUAAAGUGGUAGAUGAGCGUUUGCUUAGAAUAAACAGACGAUAUCGUCUGCUGCUGUGGAUGUUGUGUCUUUGAAUGUCUUUGGAGUGGAAGAUGAAGCUGUGAGGAGCAUCAAUGCACUGAAGCUGAGCUGCAGAAACACGCUUAACACGAGUCCAGAGUCCAGACAGAAGCAAUGCACCCUGGGAAUCAAGUGCAGCAUUUUUCCCCAAUCAGACGCUGAUUAUGAAUGUGAGAGGACCCUCGGCUCGAGCAUUGAUGGCUUCUCUGUCAUUUUUACACAGUGGACACACUUGAGAUUGUUUGGCAGCUCGGUGAGAGGGCCUCUGCUGAACUGGCGAGCCAAACAAAUCAGCAGCUCACAGUCAGUGCGGUGAUCACCAAAAGCACAUUCACAGAGGAUGAUGGGUGGACGGAUGUCGGCUCUCUUUUAUUAAAGCUCAUCUCUGCGUGUAAUUGGCUCAGAGAUGGCUGAUAAUCUGCCGUGGAAGAUAUUUGUCUCCGACUUGUUCCGUGUCCUUCUCAGCUGGAGCCAAAUUAUCAUACUCUCAAAAUGAAGAUCUAUUCCUGGAAUAUUCUUGGAGCAACACCGAAUCAUCAGACGGAUUGCAUUAAUAUAACUGUUUUAAUUCUUCAUGUCUGCUCACCAAAACGUCUGAAAAACUGUGAACAAUAAUCAAAUAUUCAUGCCAUCUGGAGUCGUGGCGUCUUGAUAGUUCAGGAAUUGGGACGGUUAUGCAAUAAUAGCAGGUUUAAUUGGAUUAGUACAUAGCAGAUCUUUGAAUCUGGAUCACAUUACAGCCUGUUUUGACAAAGAAACACUCACUGCUUUAAGCGUAAUUUGGCAACACCUUACAAAAGGGUUCCAGUUGUAUCUCCAAUUCAGUUUUUUUUUUUCCCGCCACGGAAUAUUUAAUAAAAAAUUAAUUGUGACUUUUUAUCUAGAGUUUCUCAGUUUAUAUCUCUCAAUUAGGACUUUGUUUGUAAAAUAUUAACUUUUUUCCUUGCAAUUGUGAGAUUACAUCUUAUAAAAGUUUUUUUCAUGUCUCCUCUGUGGAAUAAAAAAGUGACUUUUUAUCUCACAAUUCUAAAUUGCUUUCUCACAAUUGGAAAUCUCACAAGAAAAAAAGGCAAAUUCUAUUCAAGUUCUAAUUCUUUUUUAAUUUCCAACACAUAAUAAAAAAUGUAAUUGCAUCUUUUUUUGUAACUAUGUUUGUUCGUUGUUGUUGUUUUCUUGCAGUUGUGAGAUAAUGACUCACAAUUGGGACACUUCUUCUCAGAAUUGCAAAUUUAUAAUUCUGACUUUAAAAAAAAAAUGUGAGGAUAAAAGCUAAAAAAAAAAAAAAGGUUCCUGUAGUGAAACAGGCUUCUAUAGUCAACAACAUUCAAUUAAAAAUACUUCUAAAGCAUUUAUUAAUCUUAGUUCAUGUUCAUUUUAGUGUUUACAAAUACAUUAUUCAAAUCAAAAGUUGUAUCUAUGAAUAUUAUUUAAUGGACCUGAUCUAACAUUUGCAUUUUUAUUAAUUAACUUUAACAAUAAUUAAUAAAUACUGUAACAAACAUAUGUUUCAUUAACUAAUGGGUUAUUGUAAAGUGCUGUUACCCAAAAAGAAAACAUUUGCGAAAGAAAAUAAAAUAAACGUAAUUUAAAGUGUAUUCUUAUAUAUUUCACAAUUUGAUUUAAAAUUGUUUUAAGGGUGUUUAGAUGGAAAACAAGUCAACAAUAAUGAUCACUGAAAUGAAAUAAUGAAAAAUAAGCACUGUGUUUUACCUUUAUACCUGCCUAAAAUCUGUCAG